ensembl:snRNA U6 U6 spliceosomal RNA
AUGCUUCCUUUGACAGCACAUAUACUACAGUUAGAAUGAUAUAGAGAAGACUAGCAUGGCCCCUGUGCAAGGAUGACACAAAUUUGUGAAGCGUUCCAUACUUGU